GCAUAUUAACCAGUUUAAAGACGGUUUCUCUGGGUUCUACUGCGUCUAAAAAGAGACUAAAUUGACUCUUCAAAGAUUUCUAGGAUAAGUGGCCUCCAGUGACCCUACCUCCCAGUAUCACACCUGGUAUAAUCUCCUUCAACUGUGGGCUGCAGCUGAAAUCUUCCAAGAUAAGAGACCUUCAGUAAUGCCUGAGAGCCUUUCUUUUAUGAUGAAGAAUGAGCCAGAAAAACUAUGUGCUCAAGGCUGCACAGUUAGAAAACUACAGAUUUGGACUUUGAACCCCCACCUACCUCUAGCACUCACCUUGCUCUCCAACUGAAGGUGAAAGCACUUUCUCCCAGUGAUUGCUGAUAAUAUAACUCAGAUGAGAUUGAAUGCACUGCCCCAGAGAUGUAGGAAAAGGUGGAGGAUUUCUCAAAAGGGAAUUUUAUGAGAGACACAAACACUGGAGACAUCAAAGCCAACCUCCAUGUGCUUCCAAACAGGACGUUGUAAAAUGAGAGAACAGUCUAAUCUUAUCUGGAUAGGAAGAUAACGUGAUCAAGGGUGAUGAACAUUUCUGAGAAGCAGACCAGACCAGCUGUUACGAAAAAAAUCAUGGAGAAGAGAAGUUUCAAGAAACCCUGCACAGGCAGGCUGGACUCAAAGGAGGCCAGGGUAUGGGCAAAAUAGGUCUUUGGUCUUAAUUCUUCAACUAAUAGGAAAUCCUUGAAAGUUUCUCCUCAGUAAAGUGAUAAAAAUUUUGAUGAUUUUGUUGUGGCUGUUUGUUUUUGUUUUCUUUUGUUUUAAUGAAAAGAUUUGAAGAAAAUUAAUCAGAUAAAAGUCUUCACUGAAGGAGGACCCAAGCCAGUUUGCUCUUCAUCUUCUCUUCCCCUGCCUUCCCACUAGGUGGCACCAGAACUCAAAAUCAGAACCCCCUAAAACCUUCACUCUUCCAAUCUUACUGUAGGAUGACUCCUGUAAUAUUGUGAUGUGAUGGGAACAUAUCAAAACAUGGUUUCUAUUGCCAAUUGCUAACCUGACUCUUCAUUUACCCUGGGGUAUUUUUCAAGCAGUUAACAGUUUUCAGCUUAACUGACUGCAAAGUUCUGAAGACCUUUGGGAUCCAUGCCCGCUUAGAGAACUGUUCUAGGCCAACAUAAUGAGCAACCAUCCUGCAGAAAAUGCUAAAGGCCUGCUGGAAGUUGAUACAGUGGAAUUCAUUCAACCCUUGAUGGCUUCAAUCACGGAGAGUCUUCUAGUUUUCAAGAGAGGGAGGAUUUGCAGAUGACUGUUAAAUUACCUCCUUGACAUGAAACUCCAGUUGGAAUGUGGAAGGGGAAGAAAGCCUGAGCCAACUUAUUACCUAAUUCUUCAGGAAAGAAAUGUGAGAACCAAGCAGUCUGGCCCCUCCUUCCUUUCUGAAUGCCCUUUUCACUAGUUUAUACCACAGAGGACUCCCUCCCUUACGUAUUUCUUAAAGAAACUUCUUUUCUACUUUUCUCUUCCUAUCACUGCCCCAUUAUUGUUUAUUUUUAUUUUUUACUUAUCUAUUUAUUUGACAGUAGGAAGAAUGAUGCUUUCAAUUUGUUGUAAAAUUAGUGUCACAAAUCUACAUUUAAAACAAAAAAAGAUCAUUCCUGGUCACUUGUAAAUAUGUAUGUAGUGACUAAAAUACCAAUCAAUCAAGAUUCUUUUUGUAAACAUCUAAGCUUAAGUCCAUAUGAUUCCAAGGCUCAAAAGGCAAAUGGAAUAUCGCCCAAAUCUCAGGCAAGCAAGGCACAUGGCAUUUUUCCCUGAAUACUUCAAACUGAAAUUCGAGGAGGAAACACAAAGUUAGUUGAAACUAUCCCACAAAGGAAGUAUUGUUUAAAGGAUGGCAAGAGAUGGUUGUUCCAAACCAUAUUCACACCUGGAUUCCCUCAUGUUUCCACGCAUCUGCAGUUGGACUUCUGCAGUUAUCAUUUAUCAUGCCAGUGACUCAUGUUUCACAGGGGCAAAAUAAAUAUUUGCUGAAUAAAUCCUUCGAGCUGCUACCAAAAAUAGGAGAUAUUGGAAACAAAGAUGCAAACAUAGAAAAUAAACUAACAGCAGCUGUGGAAAUAAAUAAACUGUAUGAUAUUCCCACUUUUCUUUUCAUAAUUCCAAGUAAGAUUGUUUUUGUUUCUCUGUACUAAAGCUGAAAAACAAUAUAUUCUGACUUCCUCUGAUUUCAAAGAAUCAAUACUUUUGUUUUGCUUCGUAUUCUUGCUUCAGAGGAAAUGUGACACUUUUUAUCAGUGGUAAGUAUUUGUUCUUUUCUUAAGCACCUAUCUGAGAAUUUGGCAAAGUAUUUAAGCAAAUAGACCUGAAAGCCAUAGUUCAGAACCCAGGAAGCCUUGGGUGAGAUGAAGUCACGCAAACACACCUAUCUAAUGGGGGUAAAUUCUGAAAAAUGAGCCCCAGAAACAAAUAAGGAAGAGGCUAAAAGGAAACCCCCCGGAGCCAAGGCCUCUGCUCUCCUACUCCUGUGAUAAGAUGCAGUCUUUCCUUAGUCUCUUAUUUAACACUGAGCAUGAUUCAUGGACAAGAAGCCAUUGUCCUUUAAACCACCACAUUUUCCAUCUAUUACAGAAAAUCUAAGAUCAAUUUUCUAUCUAAUUCAAUUGGAUUAUUGAGUUAUUGCCCUUCACGCCUUCAACAUAU